rnacentral:tRNA from 1 species
UAUUCUGUGGUUUAGUUGGUUAAAGCGCUGGUCUGGCGAAUACGGAGUCGUGGUUUCAAAACCCACCAGAAUGG